UACGAAGGGGGCUAGCGUUGCUCGGAAUCACUGGGCGUAAAGGGUGCGUAGGCGGGUCUUUAAGGAAGGGGGGAAAUCCUGGAGCUCAACUCCAGAACUGCCUUUGAUACUGAAGAUCUUGAGUUCGGGAGAGGUGAGUGGAACUGCGAGUGUAGAGGUGAAAUUCGUAGAUAUUCGCAAGAACACCAGUGGCGAAGGCGGCUCACUGGCCCGAUACUGACGCUGAUGCACGAAAGCGUGGGGAGCAAACAGG
rnacentral:rRNA from 1 species